UUUCCGUAGGUGAACCUGCGGAAGGAUCAUUAUUGUAUAACCGAGGUGCGAGGGCUGUCGCUGACCCGAAAGGUCGUGCACGCCCGAGUGUCCCACACACAUCCAUCUCACCCCUAUGUGCACCACCGCGUGGGUCCCCCUUUGGCUUGUUCGGAGGGGGGCUUACGUUUUCACACAAACUUUGUAUGCAGUGUAGAAUGUAUUUUUUGCUUUUGCGAUCACGCAAUCAAUACAACUUUCAACAACGGAUCUCUUGGCUCUC
rnacentral:misc_RNA from 1 species